rnacentral:tRNA from 1 species
GACAACGUAGCAAAGUGGUUAACGCGGUUGAUUGCUAAUCAAUUCUCCUUGGAGGCGCGGGUUCGAAUCCCGUCGUUGUCG